ACGGGAAGCAGCAGUAGGGAUCUUCCGCAAUGGACGAAAGUCUGACGGAGCAACGCCGCGUGAGUGAUGAAGGUUUUCGGAUCGUAAAGCUCUGUUGUUAGGGAAGAACAAGUGCGAGAGUAACUGCUCGCACCUUGACGGUACCUAACCAGAAAGCCACGGCUAACUACGUGCCAGCAGCCGCGGUAAUACGUAGGUGGCAAGCGUUGUCCGGAAUUAUUGGGCGUAAAGGGCUCGCAGGCGGUUUCUUAAGUCUGAUGUGAAAGCCCCCGGCUCAACCGGGGAGGGUCAUUGGAAACUGGGAAACUUGAGUGCAGAAGAGGAGAGUGGAAUUCCACGUGUAGCGGUGAAAUGCGUAGAGAUGUGGAGGAACACCAGUGGCGAAGGCGACUCUCUGGUCUGUAACUGACGCUGAGGAGCGAAAGCGUGGGGAGCGAACAGGAUUAGAUACCCUGGUAGUCCACGCCGUAAACGAUGAGUGCUAAGUGUUAGGGGGUUUCCGCCCCUUAGUGCUGCAGCUAACGCAUUAAGCACUCCGCCUGGGGAGUACGGUCGCAAGACUGAAACUCAAAGGAAUUGACGGGGGCCCGCACAAGCGGUGGAGCAUGUGGUUUAAUUCGAAGCAACGCGAAGAACCUUACCAGGUCUUGACAUCCUCUGACAACCCUAGAGAUAGGGCUUUCCCUUCGGGGACAGAGUGACAGGUGGUGCAUGGUUGUCGUCAGCUCGUGUCGUGAGAUGUUGGGUUAAGUCCCGCAACGAGCGCAACCCUUGAUCUUAGUUGCCAGCAUUUAGUUGGGCACUCUAAGGUGACUGCCGGUGACAAACCGGAGGAAGGUGGGGAUGACGUCAAAUCAUCAUGCCCCUUAUGACCUGGGCUACACACGUGCUACAAUGGACAGAACAAAGGGCUGCGAGACCGCAAGGUUUAGCCAAUCCCAUAAAUCUGUUCUCAGUUCGGAUCGCAGUCUGCAACUCGACUGCGUGAAGCUGGAAUCGCUAGUAAUCGCGGAUCAGCAUGCCGCGGUGAAUACGUUCCCGGGCCUUGUACACA
rnacentral:rRNA from 1 species